CCCCGCCUGUUAAACGAUGGAUGCUAGCCCGUUGGCNGGGUUUUACUCGUUCAGUGGCGCAGCUAACGCAUUAAGCAUCCCGCCUGGGGAGUACCGGUCGCAAGAUUAAAACUCAAAGGAAUUGACGGGGGGCCCGCACAAGCGGUGGAGCAUGUGGUUCAAUUCGAAGCAACGCGCAGAACCUUACCAACCUUUGACAUGUCCCGUAUGAGCGCCAGAGAUGGAGUUCUUCAGUUCGGCUGGCGGGAACACAGGUGCUGCAUGGCUGUCGUCAGCUCGUGUCGUGAGAUGUUGGGUUAAGUCCCGCAACGAGCGCAACCCUCGCCCUUAGUUGCCAUCAUUUAGUUGGGCACUCUAGGGGGACUGCCGGUGAUAAGCCGCGAGGAAGGUGGGGAUGACGUCAAGUCCUCAUGGCCCUUACAGGUUGGGCUACACACGUGCUACAAUGGCGGUGACAAUGGGAUGCAAUGGUGCAAGCCUGCGCAAAUCUCAAAAAGCCGUCUCAGUUCGGAUUGGGGUCUGCAACUCGACCCCAUGAAGUCGGAAUCGCUAGUAAUCGUGGAUCAGCAUGCCACGGUGAAUACGUUCCCGGGCCUUGUACACACCGCCCGUCACACCAUGGGAGUUGGCUUUACCUGAAGGCACUGCGCUAACCCGCAAGGGAGGCAGGUGACCACGGUAGGGUCAGCGAUCUGGGGUGAAGUCGUAACAAGGUAACCCGUA
rnacentral:rRNA from 1 species